ACGUGGCCCCCGCCUGACCCGGCGCCCCGGGGCGGAGUAGGGCGGAGCGGGCGGCAAACGCAGCACUUUCCGCGGCUUUGACGAGCCCGCAGCGGCCGGACCCGAGCGCUGAGCCGGGCCGAGACUGCACCAUGCAGGAAGCGCCAGCCGCGCUGCCCACGGAGCCAGGCCCCAGCCCCGUGCCUGCCUUCCUCGGCAAGCUAUGGGCGCUGGUGGGGGACCCAGGCACAGACCACCUGAUCCGCUGGAGCCCGAGCGGGACCAGUUUCCUCGUAAGCGACCAGAGCCGCUUCGCCAAGGAAGUGCUGCCCCAGUAUUUCAAGCAUAGCAACAUGGCGAGCUUCGUGCGCCAACUCAACAUGUGUGAGUCCCUACGGCCGGGCGGGGAGCGGGGAUGGGGAACUCGGUGCCGGGGAUGGGGCGACCCACGCCCCCACGCCCCACUCCCCAGACGGUUUUCGGAAGGUGGUGAGCAUCGAGCAGGGCGGCCUGCUUAGGCCGGAGCGCGACCACGUCGAGUUCCAGCACCCGAGCUUCGUGCGCGGCCGCGAGCAGCUACUGGAGCGCGUGCGGCGCAAGGUGCCCGCGCUGCGCGGCGACGACAGCCGCUGGCGCCCGGAGGACCUGGGUCGACUACUGGGCGAGGUGCAGGCUUUGCGGGGAGUGCAGGAGAGCACCGAGGCGCGGCUGCGGGAGCUCAGGCAGUGCGGGGGCGGGCGGGGAAAGAGGGGACAGGGGUGGGGGGUUCGGGAUGAGACCAUAACUGGCCAGCCGGCAGUUCUGGGCAGCCCCUUCCUCUCUCGGGCCUUGGCGCCUCCAUCUAGAUUUAUGGGCGAUCUCUAGGAUGACCAGUCAUCGGGGUGGUCUCCUGGGUCCCCAGCCUCGCCAUUCUGUGGGGGGUGGUGACUGGGGGAACUCUCAGAUGCCUCAGCACCCUCCCACCCCUUCCUCAGGCAGAACGAGAUCUUGUGGCGGGAGGUGGUGACACUUCGGCAGAGCCAUGGUCAGCAGCACCGGGUCAUUGGCAAGCUGAUCCAGUGUCUCUUUGGGCCACUUCAGGCGGGGCCGAGCAAUGCAGGAGGCAAGAGAAAGCUGUCCCUGAUGCUGGAUGAGGGGAGCUCAUGCCCAACACCUGCCAAGUUCAACACCUGCCCUCUGCCUGGUGCCCUUCUGCAGGACCCCUACUUCAUCCAGUCGGUAGGUUUGUCUUCUUCCCCCUUCCCAAGGGCAUGGCUGGGCUUAUGGAGAGCCUGUUCCUUCUCCCCAUCCCCUAAAAGGAAGAGAAGAUGGAAGCCAGCCUUCCCCCCAACCAGACCCAGGCCCUCCAGCAUGGACUGAGCCUCCUCCCUCAAACCUUCUCCCUUAGACCUGGCCCAGGUGGGUGUUGGUGGGGUUCUGGCUCUCCCUGUGCCUACAGGCCAAGGGCUGGGCCUAGCCUUCUACUUACAGCCCCUCCCAGAGACGACUUUGGGCCUCAGCCCUCACAGGGCCAGGGGCCCCAUCAUCUCUGACAUCCCAGAAGACUCUCCAUCCCCUGAGGGGACCAGGCUUUCUCCCUCCAGUGAUGGCAGGAGCCCCCCCGCCACUGCCUGUGGCUGUGGUGCAGGCCAUCCUGGAAGGGAAAGGGAGCUUCAGCCCCGAGGGGCCCAGGAAUGCCCAACAGCCUGAACCAGGGGAUCCCAGGGAGAUACCUGACAGGGGGCCUCUGGGCCUGGAAAGCGGGGACAGAAGCCCAGAGAGUCUGCUGUCUC
rnacentral:sRNA from 1 species